CUGCGGAGGGAUCAUUG
rnacentral:rRNA from 7 species